AGUUCAAGCUACUAAGGGUGUACGGUGGAUGCCUUGGUAUCUGGCGGCGAUGAAGGACGUGGUAAGCUGCGAUAAGCGUCGGUGAGGUGCAAACAACCUUUGACCCGGCGAUCUCCGAAUGGGAAAACCCAGCGAGAGUCAUGUCUCGUUAUCCCUGCCUCAAUGAGACAGGGAGGCCAACCCGGGGAAGUGAAACAUCUCAGUACCCGGAGGAAAAGAAAGCGAAGCGAUUCCCCCAGUAGCGGCGAGCGAAAAGGGAGAAGCCUAAACCGAUUGAGGUGCCAAGCCUGCAGGCCUUGCCUCAGCGGUGUCGUGGGACCUGGUGUCCCGGAGCUGCAGCUCCCGGGAAGGAGUUACAAAACGCAUCUUCUAGCCGAAUCGUCCUGGAAAGGCGAACCAGAGUAGGUGAUAGUCCUGUAAGCGAAAGGGGAUGUGUCUCCUAGCCAGGCACCCGAGUACCACGGGACACGUGGAACCCUGUGGGAAUUCAGGCGGCCCACCGUCUAAGGCUAAAUACGUCCAGAUGACCGAUAGUGGACCAGUACUGUGAAGGAACGGUGAAAAGAACCCGGAGACGGGAGUGAAAUAGAACCUGAAACCGUGCACCUACAAUCAGUAGGAGCCUAGUGCUUGUUCGGACUGUGUCCGUUCAAGCACGGGUGACUGCGUGCCUUUUGCAUAAUGAGCCGGUAAGUUACUUUGCGCGGCAAGGUUAAGCCCUUAAGGGGCGAAGCCGCAGCGAAAGCAAGUCCAAACAGGGCGCGAAGUCGCGUAUAGUAGACCCGAAGCCUGGUGAUCUACCCAUGGCCAGGGUGAAGCGAGGGUAACACCUCGUGGAGGCCCGAACCGGUGGAUGUUUCAAAAUCCUCGGAUGAGCUGUGGGUCGGAGCGAAAGACUAAUCAAACCAGGUGAUAGCUGGUUCUCCCCGAAAUGUCUUGUGGGACAGCCUCAGGUGUUCAGUAACGGAGGUAGAGCGACUGAUUGGAUAAGGGGAAGAGAUUCUUCCCCAAGUUCAGCCAAACUCCGAAUGCCGUUACUCUAGAGCCUGGGAGUGAGGCUGUGGGGGAUAAGCUCCAUGGCCGAGAGGGAAACAACCCAGACCAUCAGCUAAGGCCCCUAAGUGUUGGCUAAGUGGCAAAGGAAGUGGAAUUGCCCAAACAGCUGGGAUGUUGGCUUAGAAGCAGCCAUCAUUUAAAAAAUGCGUAACAGCUUACCAGUCGAGUGGUUCCGCGCCGAAGAUAUAACGGGGCUAAGUCAGCCGCCGAAGCUAUGGGUGGCGCUCUUUAGAGCGUCGCGGUAGGGGAGCGUUCCGUAAGCGUGUGAAGGCGUGUCGUAAGGCGCGCUGGACGUAUCGGAAGCGAUCAUGCCGGCAUUAGUAGCGACAAGACAGGCGAGAAACCUGUCCGCCGAAAGCCUAAGGUUUCCUGGGGAAGGUUAAUCCGCCCAGGGUUAGUCGGUCCCUAAGGCGAGGCCGAAAGGCGUAGCCGAUGGGAAACGGGUUAAUAUUCCCGUACCGGUUGCGAACCGUUAUGAGCUAUGGGGGGACGCAGGCGCAAGAGAUGAUCCACCUGUUGGAUGGUGGUCCAACUCCGGAGGGUGGUCCGUAGGUAAAUCCGCGGGCCUGAGCCCAAAGGAGGAAUGGAAGGCCUUUGGCCGCAAACUCGUCUCAAACACCUGCCGAGAAAAGCCUCUAUGCCAGGUUCACAGCCGACCGUACCGUAAACCGACACAGGUAGGCGAGGAGAGAAUCCUAAGGCGCUCGAGUGAUACUCCGUUAAGGAACUCGGCAAAUUGAUCCCGUAACUUCGGAAGAAGGGAUGCCUUCCCGGGCGAGUUAACUCGUUUGGCAAGUUCGGGGAGGUCGCAGAAACCAGGCCCCGCCGACUGUUUAUCAAAAACACAGGGCUCUGCUAAGUCGCAAGACGACGUAUAGGGCCUGACGCCUGCCCGGUGCCGGAAGGUUAAGGAAGGGGGUCACUCCUCUUUUUGAGGACGAAGCUCCCGACCGAAGCCCCGGCAAACGGCGGCCGUAACUCUAACGGUCCUAAGGUAGCGAAAUUCCUUGUCGGGUAAGUUCCGACCCGCACGAAUGGCGUAACGAGUGGGGCGCCGUCUCGACGGAGUGCUCGGCGAAUUUGUAGUGGCGGUGAAGAUGCCGCCUACCCGCGAUUGGACAAAAAGACCCCGUGAACCUUUACUGUAACCUGGUAUUGGGUCUUGGCCAUCCAUGUGUAGUAUAGGUGGGAGACAGUGAAGCCUGGACGCCAGUCUGGGUGGAGUCAUCGGUGAAAUACCACCCUUGGGUUGUUGGGGCUCUAAUCCAUGCAUCAAAGCUGGAGACAGUGCCAGGCGGGCAGUUUGACUGGGGCGGUUGCCUCCUAAAAGGUAACGGAGGCGUUCAAAGGUUUGCUCAGCACGGACGGUAACCGUGUGCAGAGUGUAAGGGCAUAAGCAAGCCUGACUGUGAGGCCGACGGGCCAAGCAGGCGCGAAAGCGGGACCUAGUGACCCGGUGGUUCCUUGUGGAAGGGCCAUCGCUCAUCGGAUAAAAGGUACUCCGGGGAUAACAGGCUAAUACCGCCCAAUAGUUCUUAUAGACGGCGGUGUUUGGCACCUCGAUGUCGGCUCAGCGCAUCCUGGGGCUGGAGAAGGUCCCAAGGGUUGGUCUGUUCGCCCAUUAAAGCGCUACGUGAGCUGGGUUCAGAACGUCGUGAGACAGUUCGGUCUCUAUCCAUCGUGGGCGCAGGAGACUUGAGAGGAGCUGUCCCUAGUAUGAGAAGACCGGGAUGGACGCACCUCUGGUGUACCGGUUGUCGCGCCAGCGGCAUCGCCGGGUAGCUAUGUGCGGAAUGGAUAACCGCUGAAAGCAUCUAAGCGGGAAGCCAACCUCAAGAUUAGGUCUCCCGGGGCUCAAAGCCCCCUGAAGGCCGCUCGAAGACUACGAGUUUGAUAGGCCACAGGUGUAAGUGCAGUAAUGUAUUUAGCCGAGUGGUACUAAUCGGCCGUGAGGCUUGAACUUC
rnacentral:rRNA from 1 species